rnacentral:rRNA from 1 species
UACGUAGGGUGCAAGCGUUAAUCGGAAUUACUGGGCGUAAAGCGAGCGUAGUCGGUUAUUUAAGUCGGAUGUGAAAUCCCCGGGCUCAACCUGGGAAUUGCAUUCGAUACUGGAUAGCUAGAGUUCGGCAGAGGGAAGCGGAAUUUCUGGUGUAGCGGUGAAAUGCGUAGAUAUCAGAAGGAACAUCAGUGGCGAAAGCGGCUUCCUGGACCAGAACUGACGAUCAGGCUCGAAAGCGUGGGGAGCAAACAGG